GACGAACGCUGGCGGCGUGCUUAACACAUGCAAGUCGAACGAAGUGGCGAACGGGUGGGUAACGCGUAAUCAACCUGCCCUUCAGAGGGGGACAACAGUUGGAAACGACUGCUAAUACCGCAUACUGAAGGUGGGGAUUGCGUCUGAUUAGCUAGUUGGAUGGGUAACGGCCCACCAAGGCGAUGAUCAGUAGCCGGUCUGAGAGGGUGAACGGGAACAAUGGGAGUGAGACACGGCCCAGACGUCUACGGGAGGCAGCAUUAGGGGAUCUUCCGAAAUGGACGAAAGUCUGACGGGGCAACGCCGCGUGAGUGAUGACGGCCUUCGGGUUGUAAAGCUCUGUUAAGCGGGACGCGGUACCGGAAUAGAAAGCCACGGAUAACUACGUGCCAGCAGCCGCGGUAAUUC
rnacentral:rRNA from 1 species